rnacentral:rRNA from 1 species
GAUGAACGCUGGCUACAGGCUUAACACAUGCAAGUCGAGGGGAAACGACGGGGAAGCUUGCUUCCCCGGGCGUCGACCGGCGCACGGGUGAGUAACGCGUAUCCAACCUGCCUCUGACUGAGGGAUAACCCGUCGAAAGUCGGCCUAAUACCUCAUGGCAUCGUCUGCGGGCAUCCAACGACGAUUAAAGAUUUCAUCGGUCAGAGAUGGGGAUGCGUCUGAUUAGCUUGUUGGCGGGGUAACGGCCCACCAAGGCGACGAUCAGUAGGGGUUCUGAGAGGAAGGUCCCCCACAUUGGAACUGAGACACGGUCCAAACUCCUACGGGAGGCAGCAGUGAGGAAUAGUGGUCAAUGGGCGAGAGCCUGAACCAGCCAAGUAGCGUGCAGGAUGACGGCCCUAUGGGUUGUAAACUGCUUUUAUGCGGGGAUAAAGUGAGGGACGUGUCCUUCAUUGCAGGUACCGCAUGAAUAAGGACCGGCUAAUUCCGU